AUCGCUUCUCGGCUCCCUGAGCUACGAUUGUGGGCAGUAUUUGUUCUUUGUAGUGUAAUUUCUCCAACGGUCUACAAAAUGAGACCAAUGAAACUACCUGUAUUUUUCAUCUCCAAACGAGUGCUGUGAGCUUCUUCAACCCCUGUCCACGGGUCGGCCUCGUGUUGCAUUACCUCGAGGAUUGGUGUCCCAAAU
rfam:Schistosoma mansoni, Puerto Rico, WGS project CABG01000000 data, contig: 0290